rnacentral:lncRNA from 1 species
CAGCGAAUUCUACUACGUGUCGGGAUGCAGCAAUCUAGUUAGGGACCAGGUGGCACCCCGGCGCCAGCGAUGCGUGACUGGCAUCCAAUAGUCUCUAGCGGAGCCACAGUUCUCCACAGGGUGGUGCGUGGGCGCUUGUGCCUGUUGUUGCCGAUUCAGUCUAGGAUGGUAGGCAGUCAGCACUUUGAAGGUACGGACGGAAUGCGAAACCUCUGUAACGGAGCGUUGGGGAACCUUGCGACAGGGGAAGAAGCGAGUUCGGAGGAAUGCGACUGCGUUGCGGACCAGGGGAUGAAGGCUUGGCGAGCCGGCAGCGGGUAUGGGUAAGUAGCAGCCUCGUGCAACUUUAGCUCACGUGGUGUGAUUCACUGGAGGGAGCGCUCGAGCGGUGUGACCAAGGCGGCUGGCCGCACGAGUCGCCGUUUGGUGCGUCGCGUAUGCCGUGUACACAGGUCGGCAAAGUGAGCAGCAGAGCGGGAGAUGCUGCUGGGCACGUGGGCUGAUCCGCGUCGCCUCCGUGCGUGCCGUGCGGUCUCAGGUGUGAUUUAACAAACCUCGGCUGCUGCGCAAACAGCGUAUACAAUUGCGUCAGGGCGCGGCAUGUGAAGCUGUGCAUCCGCCUUGGCUGGCACAUCGUUACGACCAAACCAUGUUCGCAGUAUGUUUCUAGCGGUCCCGUGCGCCGCGUCGUAUCUGAGCAACGACCCCACCGUGAGCCGUGUGUGUGCGUGUGCCGUGUUCCCACUCGACGCGCACUAGCUCCCGAAUGGUGUGGUUCCACGGUGGCAGCGCCACAUCCCGAGGAGGCGUCUCAGCAUCAUUAGGAACUCGCUGCGAUGCCGUGAACCCGGCAGUCUCAUGUGUGCCAGCCGAGUGGCCGUUGACGGUUUGGGAGAGGCGCCUGGUCGCCUCGAGUUCACGCGUGCGCUUGAGUUAUUCUUUUAUGGCGGUGAAAUACAUAGCGUCUGACUAGAGAGGGCAAAAUUGUGUUGCGGCCGGGCUAGGCUGUAGUGCGAGGUGAUGGCGCUUGUGAGUGGCGGCCGUAAUGUGAGACGGGACGUCGGGUACCUGCAUUUUGCCUGGCCGGAUCGACUAGACUUGACAGCGGUGAGCGAAUGUUUACCUGGUGUCAGCGUAUGUCUGGCAACUUGGGACGUUUCUCUGCAGGUUGUAGGCACACGAUGGCUGGCCUGUCGAAUUGCCAAAAGGGGGGGUGCUCGCAGGAGGUGGUGGUAAUCCGGAGCGUCCCACAAUCAUGACAGCAGGAGUGCCCGCCAGGGCAGCAGGACUGUAAAAUAAUACUUUUCAGAGUGUAUCGCCUAUCGUUCCACUGUGUUGCCGUCGUAUUCAGGGCGGGGCUGUAUGUAGCCGGCAAUUUGGAGGCGAACCGAAAAUCCGAAGUUUCUAAAAGCGAGUGUUGGCGAAGUGACAUGCGAGUGGAACCGGCGAGUGGGGGUGGCAUAUGGCUCAGUAAAGACCAGGAGGCGUAGGCGCCGAUGCCAGCUGCCGGCAUGCGGCGCGGACGGCCCGGAGAGGCUUCUGCUCACAGGUUACGGUCUGCUGCAGGCAGUUCUCGGUCGGCAAGGGCCACGCUGGGUGGGCGUGCACGGGGCCGCUUGGUGAGAGUCGCGUGCGGAGUGUACACAGGCUGAAAAAGCUGUAGGCAGGCGUCGUAAUGUUUUGCGAAUUGCCGAGGGGGCAAUGCUAGUGGUGACGGGUUCGAAUUGGAGGCGUCUCACCGCCAUGACAGCAACGUCACCACCACAACAGCAAGGGUGCCCACGACAACAGCGAGGAGGCCCUCCACAGCAACAGGGCCGGCGAAUGACAGGAGAAUUUUGUAGCGCGAGUUCACUGCCCCUAGCGAGAAUCGGGGAUGACUCGAGCGUGUUUAUGUGGAGGGGCGCUGCGCGAGGGUAGGAAGGCUCAGGGCAGAGUCGCUGAGACGGGCAGCGAUGUGUAUUGUUUUUGCCCUUGGUGCGCCAUGUGGUAUCGUCGCGACGUCCUUUACGAUGGACUGGAUGCUACCAUGAGGGUAGUGGCGAAGUACUGGAAUUGAGUGAUGCGUGCUCACCAAAAGGCGUAAACGUUGAUAUCAGGUCAAAUGUAGAGACUUCGUCUACGUCUCGGGAUGCCACAGCCUAUUGAGAAAAGAGACGACACUCCGACGCUAGCAAGCUGUGACGGGUUUUCCAUCUUGUCAGACGGGCUUCGCUUUUUUCACAGUGCGGCGCCUGCAGUGCAUGUAUCAUUAUUUGAUGUUCAGGCUCAACGGGUACGCAGUUGGCAGUGGGGCGUUGAAUACGGAAUGCGAGUCCUGGAUAUGGGAGUUUUGGCGAACUGUGUGCAAGGGGGACCACCGAGCGGGCAGAAAUGUGACAGCAGUGGCAUGCACGAUACGUGAGUUUCAGGGCGGUUUGCGGGUUUGGAGGCGGUGACAGCGUACUGAUGUUGGAGGGUUGAGAGUGCGGCUGGAUAGCUGGUCAGCUUGACUGCGGACUCGUUGCCUCAGCAACGCCUUCAUCCCAUGACUCCCGAGAGCAGAACUGCGAAUGGCGUCAGCUUCUGGACGUACGCCAUCGUCACGCUACGUGUGUUAGCGUGGUCUAAAAUGACGGUUUUGCAAACGUCAGGAAUGUCGCGUCGUGGGCCAGCUCUUUGUUUUUGAUCGAGGCGGGCAACUUGCAGAUGCACGCCAUGCGUAUCACCCGUCCAAG